UACGGAGGGUGCAAGCGUUAUCCGGAUUCACUGGGUUUAAAGGGUGCGUAGGUGGGUAUGUAAGUCAAUGGUGAAAUCCCCGAGCUUAACUUGGGAACUGCCGUUGAUACUAUAUAUCUUGAAUGCUGUGGAGGUAAGCGGAAUAUGUCAUGUAGCGGUGAAAUGCUUAGAUAUGACAUAGAACACCAAUUGCGAAGGCAGCUCGCUACACGAAUAUUGACUCUGAGGCACGAAAGCGUGGGGAUCAAACAGG
rnacentral:rRNA from 1 species